UUAAAUUCACUUUCCAAAUCGAAAUAUUGAAAAUUGAAGUACGUAUCAGUUUUGAUUGAGCCUAGUUCAAUGCUAUUCUAAUUUAAAUUCAUUUAAGUUUCUAAUACGCGCACUGGAAAUCAUUUACGAAAAUGCCGAACGAGAAUACUGUCUCAAAACCACAGCGACUCAAUUCUGUUGAAGGAAGCAGAAGAGGUGACUAUUACGAAACCGUUUUGAGACAUGUCAUCGAUGCGCCGAAGGUGUGUCCCCCGGGCUACGCCUUGGAUAAAAAAGGAAGAUGUCAACCAAUUUACCGAUAAGGAUUACGCUGCAUGUUUGUCUGAUUUUCUUUGUGAACGAAAGAAAACCUACAUAAUGUGAUUAUAUCCGAUCUAAAAAUACGAUUCAUAAUGAAACUAAGUGACUGUAUGCAAUUCUUAUUCGACGAAUAAAAGUUUUACCUUUUCGACAUUGAUUGAAAUUGUGUUGUGAGA